AUGAACGCUGGCGGCGUGCCUAAUACAUGCAAGUCGAGCGAACGGACGAGAAGCUUGCUUCUCUGAUGUUAGCGGCGGACGGGUGAGUAACACGUGGAUAACCUACCUAUAAGACUGGGAUAACUUCGGGAAACCGUAGCUAAUACCGGAUAAUAUUUUGAACCGCAUGGUUCAAAAGUGAAAGACGGUCUUGCUGUCACUUAUAGAUGGAUCCGCGCUGCAUUAGCUAGUUGGUAAGGUAACGGCUUACCAAGGCAACGAUGCAUAGCCGACCUGAGAGGGUGAUCGGCCACACUGGAACUGAGACACGGUCCAGACUCCUACGGGAGGCAGCAGUAGGGAAUCUUCCGCAAUGGGCGAAAGCCUGACGGAGCAACGCCGCGUGAGUGAUGAAGGUCUUCGGAUCGUAAAACUCUGUUAUUAGGGAAGAACAUAUGUGUAAGUAACUGUGCGCAUCUUGACGGUACCUAAUCAGAAAGCCACGGCUAGCUACGUG
rnacentral:rRNA from 1 species